UUAAAACAUGGUCUUUUGUUUAUAUAAAAGAUCUGGCCUGCCCAAUGAUGUUUUAAUGGCUGCAGUAUUUUGACUGUACAAAGGUAGCAUAAUCAUUUGUCUUUUAAUUGGAGUCUGGAAUGAAUGGUUGGAUGAAAGGUUUACUUUCUUUAUUUUAAAUAUAAAAUUUGAUUUUUAAAUUAGAAAGUUUAAAUAUUAAUAUAGGACGAGAAGACCCUAUAGAACUUUAUUUAUAAGAGAUAUUUAUUAGUUUGUAAAUUAUAAAUAUAUAUUUUUAUAUAAAUUUUAUUGGGGUGAUAAAAAAAAAUUUUUAACUUUUUUUAUUUUUAUCAUUUAUAUAUGAAUUUUUGAUCCUUUAGUAUGGAAUAAAAGAUUAAGUUACCUUAGGGAUAACAGCGUUAUUAUUUUAGAGAGUUCAUAUUGAUAAAAUAGUUUGCGACCUCGAUGUUGGAUUAAAAUUAGCUUCAGGGGCAGAAUAUUGAUAGCUGAGUCUGUUCGACUUUUAAAUUUUUACAUGAUCU
rnacentral:rRNA from 1 species